rnacentral:rRNA from 1 species
GGUCUCCGUAGGUGAACCUGCGGAGGGAUCAUUACACAAUCAAAUACGAAGGCCGUUCGCGGCUGGACUAUUUAUUACCCUUGUCUUUUGCGCACUUGUUGUUUCCUGGGCGGGUUCGCCCGCCACCAGGACCACCAUAUAAACCUUUUUUAUGCAGUUGCAAUCAGCGUCAGUACAACAAAUGUAAAUCAUUUACAACUUUCAACAACGGAUCUCUUGGUUCUGGCAUCGAUGAAGAACGCAGCGAAAUGCGAUACGUAGUGUGAAUUGCAGAAUUCCGUGAAUCAUCGAAUCUUUGAACGCACAUUGCGCCCUUUGGUAUUCCAAAGGGCAUGCCUGUUCGAGCGUCAUUUGUACCCUCAAGCUUUGCUUGGUGUUGGGCGUUUUUGUCUUUGGUUUGCCCAAAGACUCGCCUUAAAACGAUUGGCAGCCGGCCUACUGGUUUCGCAGCGCAGCACAUUUUUGCGCUUGCAAUCAGCAAAAGAGGACGGCAAUCCAUCAAGACUCCUUCUCACGUUUGACCUCGGAUCAGGUAGGGAUACCCGCUGAACUUAAGCAU